CAACUCGGCUGCAUGAAGCUGGAAUCGCUAGUAAUCGCGGAUCAGAAUGCCGCGGUGAAUACGUUCCCGGGUCUUGUACACACCGCCCGUCACACCAUGGGAGUAGGUAAUGCCCGAAGUCGGUGACCUAACCGGAAGGAAGGAGCCGCCGAAGGCAGGACUUAUAACUGGGGUGAAGUCGUAACAAGGUAAC
rnacentral:rRNA from 1 species